GGUGCACUCUGUGUUCUUUGGGUCUCUCAGUCCUUUCUUCUCGACAAAAGCUCUCUCUCCCUGUCCUGUCCCCUCGAUUGUCACGUCCUGUCCUGUGUCAUGGGUGUCUGCACAUAUUUGUCCCAGAGCUGCUCUGCCCUGCUGCAUAGCCUGUAAUAGCACAAGUCCUGGGGACUUGAAAUUGGUAAUGCAGGGUGUAGUUGGGCUCUAGCUUUGUUGAUUGCCCUAUAAUUUUUAGUGCUGUUAAGUUGUCCUGCAGCUGUUUUACACUAGUCCUAACAUCCUUUCAGAUGCAGACAGUUCAAAUCAGUGGCAGCGAGCCCCAGUCCUGGGUGAGGAUGUUGCCGUGACAGGUCAGUCAUUGUUUGCAUUUGCAGGGGAAGCCUAAAUGCUGACUGUGUUACAGUGGUGUUCUUUGCCUCUAUUUUUAGGAUGUCCGGGCAGAUAGCAGCAGUGAAGGCCCAGUGUCCAAGGGAAUCAUCUCGGAGUGCACAUACCUCUGUCACCAACUGGCUGAUGGACCAGGUUUCAUGCACUUGUGAUCUCGCUGGAAGCAUUGCAGGACCCUGUGAUGGACCUUCCAAUUUUGCAUUUCAAGGUCCCAUCCUGGUAGCCCAGAGGAAUGGCUGAGGAGUUGCAGUGUACCCUGCAAUGACGGCGUCAGAAUCCAAGCACGCCCGAAGCGUGCAGGCCAAGAACCCGGGCAUUCUGAGGAGGAUGGUGAGUAGCAGAAUUAUCAGGUUUUGGCCAAUGUACUGUUAAGACUGUGCACUGAUGUUUGGUUUUCUUUCUCUUGGUGAACCAAGAGGUGACAGCUGGAACUUAGCAGGCAGGCAGACGGCCUUCUUCUGCAGCCAACAGGGAUUUGCAUCCCCAGAUGCGUGCAAGAUAAGUGGAAGAUGCAGACAGUUCAAAUCAGUGGCAGAGAGCCCCAGUCCUGGGUGAGGAUGUUGCCAUGAGCAGGAGGUCCAGGCAGAUAGCAGCAGUGAAG